rnacentral:rRNA from 1 species
CCCUUAGAUGUUCUGGGCCGCACGCGUGCUACACUGAGUGGAUCAGCGGGUCAGGUUGCGCGAAAGCGUUUCCUAAUCUUUAAAUCCGCUCGUGAUGGGGAUUGACGGUUGCAAUUUUCUGUCAUGAACGAGGAAUACCUUGUAAGCGCGGGUCAUCAUCCCGCGCUGAAUACGUCCCUGCCCUUUGUACACACCGCCCGUCGCUCCUACUGAUUGGGUGUGCUGGUGAAAUGUUCGGAUCGGCCGUUUGUCGCGGUUUCCGCGUCAUGUGGCUGAGAAGUUCAUUAAACCCUCCCACCUAGAGGAAGGAGAAGUCGUAACA